rnacentral:rRNA from 1 species
ACUCCUGCGGGAGGCAGCAGUAGGGAAUCUUCCACAAUGGGUGCAAACCUGAUGGAGCAAUGCCGCGUGAGUGAAGAAGGUCUUCGGAUCGUAAAGCUCUGUUGUUAGAGAAGAACACGUGCUAGGUAACUACUAGCGCCUUGACGGUAUCUAACCAGAAAGUCACGGCUAACUACGUGCCAGCAGCCGCGGUAAUACGUAGGUGACAAGCGUUGUCCGGAUUUAUUGGGCGUAAAGGGAGCGCAGGCGGGCUGUUUAGUCUAAUGUGAAAGCCCACGGCUUAACCGUGGAACGGCAUUGGAAACUGACAGACUUGAAUGUAGAAGAGGAAAAUGGAAUUCCAAGUGUAGCGGUGGAAUGCGUAGAUAUUUGGAGGAACACCAGUGGCGAAGGCGAUUUUCUGGUCUAACAUUGACGCUGAGGCUCGAAAGCGUGGGGAGCGAACAGGAUUAGAUACCCGUGUAGUCCCAU